UUUCGCAAUGCCCGAAAGGGUGACGAAGCGACGCCGCGUGUGGGAAGAAGGCCUUCGGGUUGUAAACCACUGUCAGGAGUUAGGAAAUGUAAGGGUGCUAAUAGUAUCCUUACUUGACUAAGGCUCCGGAGGAAGCCACGGCUAACUCUGUGCCAGCAGCCGCGGUAAUACAGAGGCGGCAAGCGUUGUUCGGAAUUAUUGGGCGUAAAGAGCACGUAGGCGGCUAUGUAAGUCGGUUGUGAAAGCCUUCCGCUCAACGGGAGAACAGCAUCCGAUACUGCAUGGCUUGAGUGCGGGAGGGGAGAGUGGAACUUCUGGUGGAGCGGUGAAAUGCGUAGAUAUCAGAAGGAACGCCGGCGGCGAAAGCGGCUCUCUGGCCCAUAACUGACGCUGAGUGUGCGAAAGCUAGGGGAGCAAACGGGAUUAGAUACCCCGGUAGUCCUAGCCGUAAACGAUGGGCACUAAGUAGAGGGGUUUUA
rnacentral:rRNA from 1 species